UCAGACAACCAAUGUAAAACCUUAUGGCCUCGUAAUGCUCACAUAACAUGUUACAGUGGUCCAUUAAAUAAUUUAAUCAUCACAUUUUUAUCUCGUAAUCUUGCGCGUGUAUCAUCACAGGAAAUGUAUUGUCUGCCGAACAAUUUUAUUGCGCGUGGUUGCAUGCGAUGCGCUAUUUAAAAGCAGAAAAGUUAACACAAUGAAAUUAUUUCAAUGCAACUCAACAUUGACAAUGAAACCAUACGUCUUUUUAGUAUUUUUUUAUGUUUAUUUUGUGGCAUUCUUCUGCCAAGAGAAAGCCGCUUCGGCUUUAAGAAAUUAUGAUAAAAUAAUGGAUUAUCAUCAGGUUUUGAGACGUAUCGCAAGACAAAUGCCCCCUCCACCAGGAAUGCCACCAUUUGACAUACCUCCAAUACCAAAUAUGAAGGGACUUGAAGAAUCUUCCCGUGUACGUCGAUCAGCUAAGGGAGCAGGAGGUUAUAUGCCAAACAGAAAAGGUUAACAAUGUGGUAUAAGCACAUACUACGACUACAGUUCGUUUAAUUUUUAAUGCCGGCAUCUUUUUCAGUACUGUAAUAUUAUAAUAAAACAUUAUGCAAG